CGGCACGGGGUACCGUCCCCACCCGGGCGAGUAGUCCCCACUCCCGGCGCCCAGCCCGGGCAGCCUGGUCCACCCAGCCCCAUGUCCUCCGCGCCCCCGGAGCCCAGGUAGCUUAGGCGUUGCCACCAGCUGCGGAGAAACCUCCAGGCGAGUCGCCUGUUGCUACCCCACCCGGCAAAAGCGCCUUUGGAGGUACGAGCCUGCUAGACGCACAUCUCCCCUCCACCAACUUGAGUUUCAGGUUAUGAUACAGGAAAACGCACUUACCUAGCAGCAGUCCUCCAAAGAGAAUGUUUGAAUUGGUGAAUUAUGCUAAGCCCUCGCUUCUUCAGCUGAAGUCUCGGACGCUGAUGGCACUUGUCUGGCAGAACGACCAGGAUGGGAAGGAGACCAGUAACGGAGGGAGAGUGAGUCAGAAAUGGUUUUGCUGCCGAAUGCAUUAUCUGGCCAUGUUCACAGCCCUGUACGGCACAAGCGAUCGCCUGAUCGAUCCGAAAUUAGAGGGAAAGGUAGAGUGA
rnacentral:lncRNA from 1 species